GCUUACGGCCACACCGCCUGGUUCACGCCCGAUCUCGUUUUGAUCUCGGAAGCUAAGGUACGGUUGGGCCUGGUUAGUACUUGGAUGGGAGACCGCCUGGGAAUACCAGGUGCUGUACUUU
rnacentral:rRNA from 1 species